AUUGAACGCUGGCGGCAGGCUUAACACAUGCAAGUCGAGCGGGGUGAUGGUGCUUGCACUAUCACUUAGCGGCGGACGGGUGAGUAAUGCUUAGGAAUCUGCCUAUUAGUGGGGGACAACAUCUCGAAAGGGAUGCUAAUACCGCAUACGUCCUACGGGAGAAAGCAGGGGAUCACUUGUGACCUUGCGCUAAUAGAUGAGCCUAAGCUGGAUUAGCUAGUUGGUGGGGUAAAGGCCUACCAAGGCGACGAUCUGUAGCGGGUCCGAGAGGAUGAUCCGCCACACUGGGACUGAGACACGGCCCAGACUCCUACGGGAGGCAGCAGUGGGGAAUAGUGGACAAUGGGGGGAACCCUGAUCCAGCCAUGCCGCGUGUGUGAAGAAGGCCUUAUGGUUGUAAAGCACUUUAAGCGAGGAGGAGGCUCUUUUGGUUAAUACCCAGAAUGAGUGGACGUUACUCGCAGAAUAAGCACCGGCUAACUCUGUGCCAGCAGCCGCAGUAA
rnacentral:rRNA from 1 species